rnacentral:lncRNA from 1 species
AUUACUCCAGCAUUUUAUUUUAUUUAUGCUUUCUGUUCAACUUUUUCUUCUUCUGCAAAAAGAUCAGAUCUUUGGGGUUUUGGCUUGAUCAGCGAUCUUUUCUUCAAUUUAGUCUUAAGAUCCAUUUCAGAAAGGUGAAAAUAAGCUGAGGUUGGAUUUUGAUUCGUUCUCUGUUUUUAUUAAUUUAUUUUGGAUUUCUUAUGUGAAUUCUAAGUUCUCUUUAUUUUAUUUUUUCUGCUAUUCUACUUUCUUUAAAAGAUUGUUAGAAGUUCAUUAACAUAUCUGCUUGUCGGAGGGCAAUUUCGUCUUUACAGUGUUAUUGUGCUAUGAACAAAUCUUGUGGUAUCCCUGUACCAAUGAAUUUGAAUAGGUAAUUUCGCAAGCUAACCUGAUAAUCACCACUUAAUUCUCUGCAAUACCAAGAUUUUCCUCCGCAUCUCCGUCGUCUCUUUGUUUUGAUUCUCUUGGCUUCUCCGCUGAUUUCUAUCUUUUUCAUGUUGCACAUCAAUUUCUGUUAUAUAUUUCAGGAUAGUUUAACAGGAGAUUGUGGUUUUUAUUGUAUUUUUGCAAUUCUAUAUUUGCUCAAGAUAAUAACAUGAUUAAAAGAUUAGUUUUACUGUGUUGUUUCUUUUCCUUCAUAGGGGUGUCUCUUGUGUUUUGUUUCAGGGUUCUUGUUGGGUUGUUCGAAUAUUCAUUAUAAUUUUAUCUUGUUGUUCGAAUAUUCAUUAUAAUUUUAUCUUAAAUUUUUGUGAAAUUCAAAAAACUGCUUAAGAAGAAAUCGGGGUUUCCGCGUAUUUGAAGGUUUUAUCAUUUUUAAAAAUUGGGGCUUUCAUAAUGGAUGAUCCUGUAACUUUCUUGGAUUUGACUUUUGAGCUACACUUUUAAUGGGCUUCUGGUUUAUUUUAAUUUUUCCCUGUAUUUACAUGAAAAAAGAUGACUUAGUCCUUCAUUGUUUGGAAGUUUUGUAUUAUCACUUCUUAUUUCUCAUGCCGAAUUUUACCUUCACAAGCUAUGAGAUUUCAAGUUCCUUCAAUUGAGAUUGGCUUUACUAUCAUGUAAAUAAUAUAAGAGAAAAGAACACCUACGGUGAAUACUAUUUCUAAACUGCGUAAAUUGUGCUAAGCCGUAGUAGUUAUAGUAUUAUUGUCCAAUUAAUUAAUCCGCCAGUUGAUGUGUAUAAUUGUAGUCCGGAGGAGACGAUACACAUUUCUGUUUUUAGAGCAAGAAUUAGAGUUAUUGCUAUAACUACACUUGCGAUAAAGAAGUCACUUCUACACUUUUAUCACCGGAAGAGAUAACAUUUUCUAUUUUACACAACCAACUCUUUUGAAAACAACUAAUGAAUUUUAUUUUAUUCUGUUCGGACACUAUUAUUCGUCCAUUGGUCGAGCAGGAUUUUCAAAGCUUGCAGCAAUUAUUUCCUGAAAUUUUUUGUUUUGAUUUACUGUCCGAAUAAUUACUGUGCAUGUAUUUAGUUACAUGUUUAACUUGCAUUUUAAAGUUGCUUAGUUAUGUAUAUAUAAUUAUUUUCUCUCUGUGUUGCUGAAGUUGGACUGACUCAAUAAAUUUCUUGAGCACGUGUCCUUAUUUGGACAACGUACUCUUCAUUUCUUAAAAGUAUCUUGAAUAGGUAACUAGCUUGUGCUAAACUAUUUUGUAUACACUAGUUACUUACAGGACUGCAAAAAAUAUUGUUAAUUGGAGAGCGAAUUUUGAAGUAUAAAAUUAACUCUGCUGAAUUUGAAACAUCGAAUGGGGUUCUUUACCUACUUUCCAAGCUCAGUGAUUUCUUAAUGGCCAGAAAUAAACUUAGUUGGUAUUUUUAUUUUCAGAUAGUGUUCCGACUUGCUAGAAAUUAGACUGUGGCAUAAGAUACUGAAGAUGCUAUUUGUACCUAUCUUCUUUCCAUUUGUAUUGUAGAAAAACAUUAGAUGACAAUUGUUAAGUGGUCUUGAUGGUUUCAUUUAGCAAACAAAUGUUUUGCAUAAGUCGCAUGAUUAGUGCAAGUUAUGGAAAAAUUGACUUUAUUGAGAAAGUUCGAUUAGUAAAGUUUAUUCCUUUGACACAAAGAUACAAACUAGUCAACUAAAAGGUCUUGUACAUAUCAGAAUUCCAUGCUUUUUUUGAGAAGAUAUGACUUACAUAUGAAAUUUUAAUGGAAGUGGCAUAUAUUUACUUAAUCUUGGUAAACCUUCUUGAGAUAGGGUUUUACCAAGUUCACUUAAGUUAUCAAAUGUAAAUAUGUAUGCUCCUACAGUCAUUACCAAUACGUCUAUGUAUAUCAGUUACGCUAUUCAUCUACUAAUAUUUUUAGAAAGUUUCACUUGAUUCUGCUUCAACAAUGUAAAAGUCAUCAUGAAUAUUUUCAUGGAUCCUCCUUUUAACUCUGUCUUCUACCUUGUGCAUAUCAACCAGGCUAUUAUUAUUGAAGUCGGACAUUCUAGGCAAGUUCGUUUUGAUUUUGGAUGCGGUACAUUGGAAUCCUGAAGCACCAUCACGAACGUUAUUGGACGUCCGCCUGCGACACACGAUCUUCCUUUCUGAUGAAUUAGUUCACAACACAGCUCAGCACGAUCUACUUUUUGACGAACUUAUAUGAUGUUGGAAACUGAAUUUUAGAAGACAAAGAAUAAAAAACUUUAUACGCUUUGCUUUUGGGUCUUUGCAGAUAUUAUCACA